UUUUCCAUGACUCCCUUUCUUCAGCAGAUUGCCAAAUGUUUUUAUGACGCCUAUGGGUUGUAAACUUCUUUUGCAGGGGAAUAAAGAUAUUCACGUGUGAGUAGUUGUAUGUACCCUGCGAAUAAGCAUCGGCUAACUCCGUGCCAGCAGCCGCGGUAAUACGGAGGAUGCGAGCGUUAUCCGGAUUUAUUGGGUUUAAAGGGUGCGUAGGUGGGCUAUUAAGUCAGUGGUGAAAGUUUGUCGCUCAACGAUAAAAUUGCCGUUGAAACUGGUGGUCUUGAGUAUGGA
rnacentral:ncRNA from 1 species